CUCUUGUUCUUCGUAAACAAAUUCCUACUCCUACGAUAUGGAUGAUCAGGUGGUAGGAAUCUCCUGUGAUAGUCAAACCAACACGUUUUCCUUCCGUGCUUUAGUUGGAAAGCAUCAGUGUUAUCUUGACAAUAUGGACAUGAUAGCCUUCCAUGCGUUGUCCAUCCAGACAACAUACCAUAUGCUGGAAAAUCACUUAUUGUCCACAUUAGUACUGCCCGCAUUUGAAAGUUUUCUUUACACAAAACAUCGUAUGUUUCAGCACCUUGAGCCCAUAGUUGUUGCAACUCAUAUAUUAGUGGCUGAAGAAACACAUCAAGUGAUCUCUUAGGAUGCUCUGGUCCGGGAACGAGAAUCGAGAGAAACAAAAACUCUCGUCGCAAGCACAAGUUUGGGGGGAGGUUGUAUGGUGUAAGAAUGACGGGCCAUAGAGAAUACUGUCUUCCACUCUUGCCAAACGGACUGAAACCAUCAGUACAUAAUCCAAGGUAGACAUUUCUUCUCUCAUACGCAAAGUCGGGAUACUUUGAUUGGAAAUGCUUCCACGAUUUUGCAUCUGAAGGAUCUCUGAUCUCACCAUCU
rnacentral:lncRNA from 1 species